UACUAGAGUAGCACUCGCAUAUCAAUAAGCGGAGGAAAAGAAACUAACAAGGAUUCCCCUAGUAACGGCGAGUGAAGCGGGAAGAGCUCAAAUUUGAAAUCUUAAAGGGUUUCCCUUUACGAAUUGUAGUUUAAAGAAGUGUUUUCUGUUGAGGUUUUGGUAAAAGUUCUUUGGAAUAGGACAUCAUAGAGGGUGAGAAUCCUGUAUUUGACCUUUACUUUCAACUUUGUGAUACACUUUCAAAGAGUCGGAUUGUUUGGGAAUGCAGUCCAAAAUGGGUGGUAAAUUUCAUCUAAAGCUAAAUAUUGGCGAGAGACCGAUAGCGAGCAAGUACCGUGAGGGAAAGAUGAAAAGAACUUUGAAAAGAGAGUUAAACAGUACGUGAAAUUGUCAAAAGGGAAGCGUUUGACACCAGUGUUGUUUUUCUGAAAAUCAAUUAAAGAACUGUUUAUGCUAAGUUGUUUAGACUUUAUCAGCUAUCUGUUUAGUUUUGAGCUUUUCUUUAAUGCACUUUUCAGUUAACAAGUCAACAUCAAUUUCUUUUGCUGUAAAAAAGCUUGAGGAAGGUGGCUUGAGAUUCGUCUUAAGUGUUUAUAGCCUCUUGCCUAUGCAGUCGGAGAGAUUGAGGUCUGCAGCGUAGAUCCUUCGGGGCUAAAUGCAUUUGUGCUAAGUUAUAGCAUUUUAUAGACAACUUGUUGACUAUGAUUUGUCUUGUAGCUUACUCGCUUAUGUUAUUUUACCUACGCUUAGGAUGUUGAUCUCUCACAGUCGAGG
rnacentral:rRNA from 1 species